UGGGGAAUUUUGGACAAUGGGCGAAAGCCUGAUCCAGCAAUGCUGCGUGUGUGAAGAAGGCCUUCGGGUUGUAAAGCACUUUUGUCCGGAAAGAAAUCCUUGGCUCUAAUACAGUCGGGGGAUGACGGUACCGGAAGAAUAAGCACCGGCUAACUACGUGCCAGCAGCCGCGGUAAUACGUAGGGUGCAAGCGUUAAUCGGAAUUACUGGGCGUAAAGCGUGCGCAGGCGGUUUGCUAAGACCGAUGUGAAAUCCCCGGGCUCAACCUGGGAACUGCAUUGGUGACUGACAGGCUAGAGUAUGGCAGAGGGGGGUAGAAUUCCACGUGUAGCAGGUGAAAUGCGUAGAGAUGUGGAGGAAUACCGAUGGCGAAGGCAGCCCCCUGGGCCAAUACUGACGCUCAUGCACGAAAGCGUGGGGAGCAAACAGGAUUAGAUACCCUGGUAGUCCACGCCCUAAAGCGAUGUCAACUAGUUGUUGGGGAUUCAUUUCCUUAGUAACGUAGCUAACGCGUGAAGUUGACCGCCUGGGGAGUACGGUCGCAA
rnacentral:rRNA from 1 species